GUUACUGCUAUCGGAGUUCGAUUAAGCCAUGCGAGUCUAAAGGUUUCUUUCGAGAAACCUUGGCGGACUGCUCAGUAACACGUGGAUAACCUACCCUUGGGACUGGGAUAACCCCGGGAAACUGGGGAUAAUACCGGAUAGAUCAAGGAUGCUGGAAUGCACCUUGAUCCAAAGCUCCGGCGCCCAAGGAUGGGUCUGCGACCUAUCAGGUAGUAGUGGGUGUAACGUACCUACUAGCCAACGACGGGUACGGGUUGUGAGAGCAAGAGCCCGGAGAUGGAUUCUGAGACACGAAUCCAGGCCCUGCGGGGUGCAGCAGGCGCGAAACCUUUACAAUGUGCGAAAGCAUGAUAAGGGAACUCCGAGUGCCAGUAUCUAAUACUGGCUGUCCUUGUGCCUAAAACGCACAAGAUAGCAAGGGCCGGGUAAGACCGGUGCCAGCCGCCGCGGUAACACCGGCGGCCCGAGUGGUAGCCGCUAUUAUUGGGUCUAAAGGGUCCGUAGCCGGUUCGAUAAGUCCUCUGGGAAAUCUGGUUGCUUAACAAUCAGACUGCCAAGGGAUACUGUCGAACUUGAGACCGGGAGAGGUAAGAGGUACUUCAGGGGUAGGAGUGAAAUCUUGUAAUCCCUGGGGGACCAUCUGUGGCGAAGGCGUCUUACCAGAACGGGUCUGACGGUGAGGGACGAAAGCUGGGGGCGCAAACCGGAUUAGAUACCCGGGUAGUCCCAGCCGUAAACGAUGCUCGCUAUGUGUCAGGUACGGUGUGACCGUAUCUGGUGCCG
rnacentral:rRNA from 1 species